rnacentral:rRNA from 1 species
AACGAACGCUGGCGGCGCGCCUAACACAUGCAAGUCGAACGAGAAUCCGGGGCAACCCGGUAGUAAAGUGGCAAACGGGUGAGGAAUACAUGGGUAACCUACCCUUGAGAAGGGAAUAACCCGCCGAAAGGUGAGCUAAUACCCUAUACGCUAUCUUUUUUUCGAAAAGGAUAGGAAAGCCGGGUCGAGGACCUGGUACUCAAGGAGGGGCUCAUGUCCUAUCAGCUUGUUGGUGGGGUAACGGCCUACCAAGGCUACGACGGGUAGCUGGUCUGAGAGGAUGAUCAGCCACACUGGCACUGAGAUACGGGCCAGACUCCUACGGGAGGCAGCAGUCGAGGAUCUUCCGCAAUGGGCGAAAGCCUGACGGAGCGACACCGCGUGCAGGAUGAAGGCCU